GUUAAUGGUGAGAAUAACCAUUGGGGCCAAGUUAGAAGGUGAGACUAGGAGUGGAAAGGGAGGAGAGGGAAGGCAGACAGUAAGGACACGGUCCCAUUCAUGCUCCCCAUGGAGCAUAUGGGAGAGUGCUGAGACUAAGGAUGGGCCAGAUGGUGGGGAUCUUGAUCCCCAAACUAAAGAAUUUAACUUGAUGUCUGGAAGGCUGUUGCAUAGUGAGAUAGAUAAGAGCUCAAGCUCUGGAAUCUCACUGACCUGGACUAGAAUCCUAUCUCUGCCACUGCUUUGUAGCAUGAUAUUGGACAAUUAAUUAACUUCUCAAUACCUCAUUUGUAAAGUGUGCCUAAUACUAGCGCCUAGCUCAAAAAGUUAUCAGGAAGAUAAAUAAGAAUGCAGGUAAAGCACCUAGAACAGUGCCCAGCACUAAGAAUGUUGAAGCCGUUAUUACUGAUGGUGAUGCUUGUAAUGGGAAGCACCUAUUACAAGUGCAGACAUAACAAUAGUGACUUAGGGUAUUGACAGCACUGUUGCACAUAGUGGAGCAAGGUGAGGCUACCUGGGGGGCAUUAGCCAUGAGCAAGGGUGGAACAUAUUUGCUGAGCAGCCUCUAGGAAAGAAGAAUAAAAAUUGACGCAGAGAAAGUAACAGCAAUGGGUAAGUUGAAAGAUGAGUUUGUUGUUUUUAAUACAAUCUUACUCUUCUUAGAAAACAGAUUCUGUUUUUGGCAUUUGCAACAUGAAAAUAAAUUGGUUUCUCUAAGUGUUUGCAUAUUUCUGUCCUAAAGAAAGAGUUGUACAGUGAUUGCCCCUCUCCCUCUUGAUUUCAUUGGGUUUUCUGAGAGCCUUGCAUUAGUGGGUUAACUAAACUAGAAAAAAAUUAAAACUUAAAGCAUUAUUAUAUUAUUUUGAUUUCCAUGUAAUAUUUCCUCAGUCUUCAUUUAGAAACAGACAAGCCAUUCUCAUGGAAUAAUAUCAUGUUUUAAUUGGAUAUUUGCCUUACUUAUAUUUUUAGGCUGACAGCAAACAAGACGAUCAGACAGGAGACUUGAUUAAGUCAGACCCUUCAGGUAAACCCAGAAGACUAUAUAUUUCAUCCAUGUGUUAAAGAUCCCAGAAUUUCUUAACCUGAAACCUGCUUUUUACUUGUAAAGGUUUUAUUCUACAGCAGAUUUUAAUUGCUCCUUAAGUUAACAAAAUUAUGGAAACGUUUUCAUUUUUUUUUUCCUUUUCAAUUUAUGAAUUGUUCUUUGAACUUUAAGAAAUUAGAGCUUCAGUGAGUAGAAUAAUUGGCUCCCGGGGGUAGACAGUUUUAUUUUGUCUAACCUCCGUUGGUAAUGUGAGGUUACCUCAUGACCUGAUCUGUCUGGGGUCUUAUCUGGCACUGUCCCUCCUCUUCAAUAGCAAAGACAUCCUUGUGUAGAACAGAGUGUGUGGCCAUACGUGACUUAUGGUUAUUCAUUUGGUACAAUGCAUGCUGCUGCUUCCUGUGAGUGGCAUAGACAGUUAACAGAUCAUGCCUCACUUUUAAGAAACCGUUUUUUGUUUUUAGUUUGUGUCUUCUGUAAGUGCUAUUAUUGGGACAUUUUCCCUCUGUUUUCCUCCACACAGGUCACUUAACUGGGAUGGUUGGCACUGCUCUCUAUGUAAGCCCAGAGGUCCAAGGAAGCACCAAAUCUGCAUACAACCAGAAAGUGGAUCUCUUCAGCCUGGGAAUUAUCUUCUUUGAGAUGUCCUAUCACCCCAUGGUCACAGCUUCAGAAAGGAUCUUUGUUCUCAACCAACUCAGAGAUCCUACUUCGCCUAAGUUUCCAGAAGACUUUGAUGAUGGAGAGCAUGCAAAGCAGAAAUCAGUCAUCUCCUGGCUGUUGAACCACGAUCCAGCAAAACGGCCCACAGCCACAGAACUGCUCAAGAGUGAGCUGCUGCCCCCACCCCAGAUGGAGGAGUCAGAGCUGCAUGAAGUACUGCACCACACACUGACCAACGUGGAUGGGAAGGCCUACCGCACCAUGAUGGCCCAGAUCUUCUCCCAGCGCAUCUCCCCUGCCAUCGAUUAUACCUAUGACAGUGACAUACUGAAGGGCAACUUCUCAAUCCGUACAGCCAAGAUGCAGCAGCACGUGUGUGAAACCAUCAUCCGCAUCUUUAAGAGACACGGAGCUGUUCAGUUGUGUACCCCACUACUACUUCCCCGAAACAGACAAAUAUAUGAGCACAACGAAGCUGCCCUAUUCAUGGACCACAGCGGGAUGCUGGUGAUGCUUCCUUUUGACCUGCGGAUCCCUUUUGCAAGAUAUGUGGCAAGAAAUAAUAUAUUGAAUUUAAAACGAUACUGCAUAGAACGUGUGUUCAGGCCGCGCAAAUUAGAUCGAUUUCAUCCCAAAGAACUUCUGGAGUGUGCAUUUGAUAUUGUCACUUCUACCACCAACAGCUUUCUGCCAACUGCUGAAAUUAUCUACACUAUCUAUGAAAUCAUCCAAGAGUUUCCAGCACUUCAGGAAAGAAAUUACAGUAUUUAUUUGAACCAUACCAUGUUAUUGAAAGCAAUACUCUUACACUGUGGGAUCCCAGAAGAUAAACUCAGUCAAGUCUACAUUAUUCUGUAUGAUGCUGUGACAGAGAAGCUGACGAGGAGAGAAGUGGAAGCUAAAUUUUGUAAUCUGUCUUUGUCUUCUAAUAGUCUGUGUCGACUCUACAAGUUUAUUGAACAGAAGGGAGAUUUGCAAGAUCUAAUGCCAACAAUAAAUUCAUUAAUAAAACAGAAAACAGGUAUUGCGCAGUUGGUGAAGUAUGGCUUAAAAGACCUAGAGGAUGUUGUCGGACUGUUGAAGAAACUCGGCAUCAAGUUACAGGUCUUGAUCAAUUUGGGCUUGGUUUACAAGGUGCAGCAGCACAAUGGAAUCAUCUUCCAGUUUGUAGCGUUCAUCAAACGAAGGCAAAGGGCUGUACCUGAAAUCCUUGCAGCUGGAGGCAGAUAUGACCUGCUGAUUCCCCAGUUUAGAGGGCCACAAGCUCUGGGGCCAGUUCCCACUGCCAUUGGGGUCAGUAUAGCUAUAGACAAGAUAUCUGCUGCUGUCCUCAACAUGGAGGAACCUGUUACAAUAAGCUCUUGUGACCUCCUGGUUGUAAGUGUUGGCCAGAUGUCUAUGUCCAGGGCCAUCAACCUAACGCAGAAACUCUGGACAGCAGGCAUCACAGCAGAAAUCAUGUACGACUGGUCACAGUCCCAAGAGGAAUUACAAGAGUACUGCAGACAUCACGAAAUCACCUAUGUGGCCCUUGUCUCGGAUAAAGAAGGAAGCCAUGUCAAGGUUAAGUCUUUCGAGAAGGAAAGGCAGACAGAGAAGCGUGUGCUGGAGACUGAACUUGUGGACCACGUACUGCAGAAACUGAGGACUAAAGUCGGUGAUGAAAGGAAUGGCAGAGACGCUUCCGAUAAUCUUGCAGUGCAAAAUCUGAAGGGGUCAUUUUCUAAUGCUUCAGGUUUGUUUGAAAUCCAUGGAGCAACAGUGGUUCCCAUUGUGAGUGUGCUAGCCCCGGAGAAGCUGUCAGCCAGCACUAGGAGGCGCUAUGAAACUCAGGUACAAACUCGACUUCAGACCUCCCUUGCCAACUUACAUCAGAAAAGCAGUGAAAUUGAAAUUCUGGCUGUGGAUCUACCCAAAGAAACAAUAUUACAGUUUUUAUCAUUAGAGUGGGAUGCUGAUGAACAGGCAUUUAACACAACUGUAAAGCAGCUGCUGUCACGCCUGCCAAAGCAAAGAUACCUCAAAUUAGUCUGUGAUGAAAUUUAUAACAUCAAAGUAGAAAAAAAGGUGUCUGUGCUAUUUCUGUACAGCUACAGAGAUGACUACUACAGAAUCUUAUUUUAACCCUAAAGAACUGUCGUUAACCUCAUUCAAACAGACAGAGGCUUAUACUGGAAUAAUGGAAUGUUGCACAUUCAUCGUAAUUUAAAAUUAAAUUCUAAGAAGAGGCUGGGUGCAGUGGCUCACACCUGUAAUCCCAGCACUUUGGGAAGCCAAGGCAGGAAGACUGCUUGAAACCAGGAGUUCGAGACCAGCCUGAGCAACAAAGCAAGACCCCAUCUCUAUAAAAACUAAAAAAAUUAGUUGGGCAUGGUGGCACAUGCCUGUAGUCCCAGCUACUCCAGAGGCUGAGAUGGAUCAUCUGAGCCUCAGGAGGUUGAGGCUGCAGUGAGCUGUGAUUGCGCCACUGCACUCCAGUCUGGGACAACAGAGCAAGACCCUGUCUUAAAAAAAAAAAAAAAAAAAAAAUUUUUCUAAGAAGCUGUCCUACAAAGUUGAGCUUUGUUAGUUUUUCAUGUGUAAUAUAUUAUAAAUUUAUCUUUUGGGAUAUAAUAAAUGCUUUCAUAUA
rnacentral:sRNA from 1 species